AUUCAAUUAGUUUAUGUAAAAUAAGGAUUUGUGGAAUCUUAGAAAAAGGUUUUUAUUGGAUA
rnacentral:tRNA from 1 species